UACGUAGGGUGCGAGCGUUGUCCGGAAUUAUUGGGCGUAAAGAGCUCGUAGGCGGUCUGUCGCGUCUGCUGUGAAAACCCGGGGCUCAACCCCGGGCUUGCAGUGGAUACGGGCAGACUAGAGUUCGGUAGGGGAGACUGGAAUUCCUGGUGUAGCGGUGAAAUGCGCAGAUAUCAGGAGGAACACCGGUGGCGAAGGCGGGUCUCUGGGCCGGUACUGACGCUGAGGAGCGAAAGCGUGGGGAGCGAACAGG
rnacentral:rRNA from 1 species